AGCUUACUUCCUUUCCCAAGUUUUCUUUUUGACCCUGUUGUUUUGCUUCUCUUUCUUCCUUCUUUUUCUGGUCCUUCUUGGGAAACUUGUAACAAGCAAUCUGAAGGA
rnacentral:ribozyme from 13 species